AACAAGAUGAGUUUGGUGAUGGCUCUGAUUGAACGCUGUCCAAAUGCUUGACACAUGCUAAUCGAACGUUUAAUUCGAUGCUCUCCGGGUUAGUACCCUGGGCGACCAUGAGUUUGAAUGUAAUGGGUGUAAUAUUUAUAUAGGAUCUAUACCCUUAAUGAAAGGGAUGGUAAGGGUUUACUUACUUUUUAUCAAGAUUUGUAACAUAUAAUAUAUUGGAGGUCUAUUAAAAGUGGUGUACAGGUGAGUGAAAGAUAAUCGGCCGGCCUUGAAGAGAGGGAAUAUCCAAAUCCGUCAUAAAAAGAAAAUAGUCCGCAGGCUAUUUUUGGAUAAAGGGUGUAAUAGCGCCGCUUCAAGAGGAAAAGAUAUCUGCGGGAUAGGUAGUAGUUAAGGUAAUGGCUUAACUAGCCAACAAUUCUCGGAGUCGAAGCUGAAAUGGUUGAUCGACCACAUUGGGGAUGAAAAAAUCCCAAUGCGCUAAAGUACAGCAGUGAGGAAUUUUGGUCAAUGGCCUAGCGGCUGAACUGGCAACUUGGACGAACGGACCGGCAACUUUCCUGAGGGGUUGCAUAAUUUUGUAGCCUGUAAGGAUGGUCGGAUGAUCUUUUUUAGGAAUAAAGUUCUUAGUAUAUAUUAGAUAAUGACAGAUAUAUAUCUUAUGCCCUGACCAAUUACGUGCCAGCAGUCGCGGUAAUACGUAUGGGACUAGUGUUAUUCAUCUUAAUUGGGUUUAAAGGGUACCUAGACGGCUAAUGUCCACCUUAAAUUUAGGUAACUAAUCAGCUAGAGUUUUAUAUAAAGAGGCCGAACUCGUGGAGGAGAGUUUAAAUUCAUUGAUACCACGGGGACGGACAACGGCGAAGGCAGCUUCUUAUGUACAAACUGACGUCGAGGGACGAAGGCAUUGCGGCACGAAAAGGAUUAGGGACCCUAGUAGUCUUUGCAGAAAAUGAUGCAUGCCAUAGAUUAGGAAGUUGACCUUCUUGGUUUAUAAACGAAAGUGAAAGCGUGUCACCUCAAGAGUAAUGCGGCAACGCAGAAACUGAAAUCACUAGACCGUUUCUGACACCAGUAGUGAAGUAUGUUGUUUAAUUCGAUGAUCCACGAAAAAUCUUACCACAAUUUGAAUAGAAUAAACUUAUCUGACAGGCUCGUGGUUACUUAUUGCUGAAAGGUAAAAUUACUUUUAAUAAUACUUACUUAGAUGUGUGCAGGGCUACAAAACUGUCUUAUGCUAAAUUUAUUUUUAGUAAUAUUACUCUUGGUAUUGGUCAUCACGAGACCUAUAGGAGUUUAUUCAUACAAGUGUUGCACGGCUGUUUCCAGUUGAUGUUGUGAAACUGUGGCAAAAGCCAUGUAAUCAACGUAAACCCGAGCUCUAUUUGUAAAAAUAUUAUGAUAGAGCUAAAUCAUCCGCUUAUAUUGGAUUUGAUAACAGGGACUAAGACAAGUCAUCAUGGCCUUAAUAUUGUGGGCUAUAGACGUGCCACAUAUGCCAUAACAAAGAGAUGCGAAAUAGCGAUAUUGAGCUAAUCUCACAAAAAUGGUUAAAAAAUAUAUGGAUUGCAGCCUGUAACUCGGCUGCAUGAAUAAGAAAUUGCUAGUAAUCGUGAAUCACUAUGUCACGGUGAAUCUAACUUUGGAUUGGUACUAACCACUCGUCACAUGCUGAGAGUUGUAUGCGCAAUAAGUUUGCUUUCUUAUUAUAAGCUCAUGUAAAAUGGAAACAUUCUUAAUAUAAGGUUCUUCGUAUGCGUGAUGGCAAUUGGUGUUAAGUCGAAAUACGGUUCGUGUAGUGGAAGUUGCACGGGAUUAAUGAAUCUUAACGUAAAAUAUGUCCGUAUGUGGGUCCUGCUCGUAAGAGUUCACAUACGCAUUAUUUAUUUAAUACUGAUAGGUAAUGUAAAAGACAAGGGACCACCCAGGAUAUUGUAAGAUAUCUGGGUAUGGCACAGUAGAUAUUCAGGACAGCGGAUUCUACCUAGAACGGAGCCUACACCGCCUAAUGGCGGAGGUGCUGAUCACGGUAGCAAGCGGGGUCAUAAAUCAGAGCAUUGUUGCGAGUUAUGAUAUCUCGACGGGG
rnacentral:ncRNA from 1 species